UGCAGUCGAGCGGACAGAUGGNNNCUUGCUCCCUGAUGUUAGCGGCGGACGGGUGAGUAACACGUGGGUAACCUGCCUGUAAGACUGGGAUAACUCCGGGAAACCGGGGCUAAUACCGGAUGGUUGUUUGAACCGCAUGGUUCAGACAUAAAAGGUGGCUUCGGCUACCACUUACAGAUGGACCCGCGGCGCAUUAGCUAGUUGGUGAGGUAACGGCUCACCAAGGCGACGAUGCGUAGCCGACCUGAGAGGGUGAUCGGCCACACUGGGACUGAGACACGGCCCAGACUCCUACGGGAGGCAGCAGUAGGGAAUCUUCCGCAAUGGACGAAAGUCUGACGGAGCAACGCCGCGUGAGUGAUGAAGGUUUUCGGAUCGUAAAGCUCUGUUGUUAGGGAAGAACAAGUGCCGUUCAAAUAGGGCGGCACCUUGACGGUACCUAACCAGAAAGCCACGGCUAACUACGUGCCAGCAGCCGCGGUAAUACGUAGGUGGCAAGCGUUGUCCGGAAUUAUUGGGCGUAAAGGGCUCGCAGGCGGUUUCUUAAGUCUGAUGUGAAAGCCCCCGGCUCAACCGGGGAGGGUCAUUGGAAACUGGGGAACUUGAGUGCAGAAGAGGAGAGUGGAAUUCCACGUGUAGCGGUGAAAUGCGUAGAGAUGUGGAGGAACACCAGUGGCGAAGGCGACUCUCUGGUCUGUAACUGACGCUGAGGAGCGAAAGCGUGGGGAGCGAACAGGAUUAGAUACCCUGGUAGUCCACGCCGUAAACGAUGAGUGCUAAGUGUUAGGGGGUUUCCGCCCCUUAGUGCUGCAGCUAACGCAUUAAGCACUCCGCCUGGGGGAGUACGGUCGCAAGACUGAAACUCAAAGGAAUUGACGGGGGCCCGCACAAGCGGUGGANCAUGU
rnacentral:rRNA from 1 species